rnacentral:rRNA from 1 species
UACGAAGGGGGCUAGCGUUGUUCGGAAUUACUGGGCGUAAAGCGCACGUAGGCGGAUUUGUUAGUCAGGGGUGAAAUCCCGGGGCUCAACCUCGGAAUUGCCUUUGAUACUGCAAGUCUCGAGUCCGGAAGAGGUGAGCGGAAUUCCUAGUGUAGAGGUGAAAUUCGUAGAUAUUAGGAAGAACACCAGUGGCGAAGGCGGCUCACUGGUCCGGUACUGACGCUGAGGUGAGAAAGCGUGGGGAGCAAACAGG